GACGAACGCUGGCGGCGUGCCUAAUACAUGCAAGUCGAACGCAGUGGGGACGGGGGAGUAAAACGUGGGUAACCGGCCAUCAGAGGGGAUAACACUUGGAAACAGGUGCAAAACCGCUACUGAUGGAUGGACCCGGGGUGCAUAAGCUAGUUGGUGGGGUAACGGCCCACCAAGGCCACGAUGCAUAGCCGACCUGAGAGGAUGAUCGGCCACACUGGCACUGAGCCACGUCCCAGACUCCUACGGGAGGCAGCAUGAGGGAAUCUUCGGCAAUGGUCGAAAGUCUGACCGAGCAAUGCCGCGUGAGUGAAGAAGGUUUUCGGAUCGUAAAGCUCUUUUGUUGGGUAAGCGUUAUCUAACCAAAAGGCCACGGCUAACUACGUGCCGGCCGCCGCGGUAAUUC
rnacentral:rRNA from 1 species